rnacentral:misc_RNA from 1 species
CCGAGUUUACAACUCCCAAACCCCCUGUGAACUUAUACCUUAUACCGUUGCUUCGGCGGGUUUUUCGCCCCGGAACAGGCUUCCCCGUCAGGGGCGCCGGGCCCGGAACCAGGCACCCGCCGGGGGACCCAAACUCUUGUAUUUAUUUACUUAUGGCAUGUCUGAGUGGAAUCAUACACAAUGAAUCA